UGCCAACUAAUGGGCACAAUUAUUCAGAAGUUUAUAGCAGAUGGUCAUACAUUCAUUGAACCUGAAAUUGUACAAGAGCGGUACGAACCCGGAACAUAUGAUAAAGAAUAUCAUGUACCAGAUGACCAGGUCGUCAAGGCGCGUGGGUUACCAUGGCAAGCAUCUGACCGUGAUGUAUUCAAAUUCUUUAAAGGCCUCAACGUUGCUAAGUGAGUAUUACU